UGCUAUGAUUCCAUUUGUUCUUGGUCAGAAAUGAAAGAUGGGUUUGCAAGGAUUCCAACUCAGGUGAUCCUGCGUGAAAUGGUAGCCAGACGGUGACGAUACAGCGCUGGAAAGUCGUUGCCUUCAUCGUGUGCAAUCUCUCUCUCCCCUCUUUUGUCGCCACUACCAGAGUUGCUAGCCGCCAUUCAUUGCUCCCUGACGGUCAUCGAUGCUUGUUGACAUCAUGGAGGAGGCUUGCCGGCAUUGGGUGGCUUGUCGGAGAAAGAAAGAAAGAGAGAAGGAAAGUGAGAGAUAAGAGAAAGAAAGGUGGGGGGAAGAAAGUCUUCCGAUUUUUGUUUCUUUCAAUUUUUUUAUUUAAAAAAA
rnacentral:misc_RNA from 1 species